UCCACCUUCUUGAUCUUAAAACAUUUCAAUUAAUUUCAAAUGGUAUGUUUACUAAUAGGUCAAGAUUCAAAAGUAUAAACCUAUUACCUCUAGGACCAAAAGAAAUUUUGUCAGUAAUUACAUAGGUGAAGUUGAAAGGUGUUGUACUAAUAGAAAGACAUCUCUGAUCUCAAGUCCAGAUUCCCUAAUACACUCAUGUCAUUGGAUUAGCAGUGCACCCACCAAACGAGUCAGUUUGAGGAUUGUUGGAGCUACAUGGUCAGGCUUGUGUUCUUGGAGGUUACUUUGGCUGUUGUGUGAAUGAUAGAUUGGGGAUUAGAAAGACUGGAUACAAGGAUGCAAGUUGAAAGAAAGAUAGCAAGAGCUGGCCUCAGAGACAGAAGACCCUGGUUCACAUCUUAACUUUUACAUAUACUGGCUAUAUGAGUUAAUCUUACAUCAUCCCAGCUCAAGACUCGGCCAAACAAAGCCAAAGCAGGAGAAUUACUCCCUUAGUAAGCCUGACACGGAGCUCACUUCUCUUCUUCUUCUGGGUAUCUAAACCAAGGGUUAGCAUAGGUUUCCUUUAGAGUCAAAAUACACUUGUAGUCACUGAUAUUUGUCAUGACAAUAACAAAUAAGGUCAAAAGGGAUCAGUUUUUAGGGUGAAGAGCUGUUAAACAAAGGAUAAAUACUCCCAGACAUGAUUAUUUUAUAUCAUCUCCAAAGCCAUUUCCAAACUAUGGAAAGAGAAUAUGUUCUCCUCUUUUACACUGAUAGUAAAAGCAAAUAUUUAUAAGAAAGGCUGUCCAGGAAAGAAAUAGUAUCCACAUAUAAUCUGUUUUUACUGUACUGUCUGCUGCUCAGUUUUAUAAACAGCUGCUAGCCAAAUGUAAUUCGAACCCAAACCCAAUCACUUUAUGCCUGUUUGCUGGAGGAAAGGGAAUAUUUUGUUUAAAUAUGUCAAAGAAAAUGUUAAAAGUCACUUCAAUUUUUGGGUUGUUUUUCUUUUUAGUUAUUUUCUUUUUUUUUCUUGGCAAUAUGGAACAUCCUUUUGAAAAAGCCCACAGAAACAUGUAGCAAGAUGAGAGCUGUAUUGUUAUAAAAGACUAGCACAAAGCUUUGUCACAGAGACAUUCGAGUGUUUCCAAUCACGAGUAGGUGGCACAAACAUGAAUCCUACUGAGAAAUAAUGAGAUGUGUGUACAUAUGAACCUCCUGUGUAUCUUUUGGAAAACAUAU